GGGACAGGAACGCGCGCCGCCGGGAGGCCGAGGAGGCAGCCGGAGAGCGCGCCCGCGAGUGGGAGCGGGAGGGGAGGCGGGGAGCUGCGGGCGGCGCGGGCUGGACUCAACCAUCCCCGCGGAGGGGCGGGGGCUGCCUCGGCGCGCACGCUGCAGAAGGAGACUCGUUGGCUCGCGUGGGGAAGCCCACGCCGCGCACGGCACGCGGGAGAAACCACGCGAGGGAGCAAGGGAGCGAAGGAGCGGGGCCGCGGGCGAGCCGGGUGCUGCGGGACUCAGGCUGGCCGGCCUCCAUGGACUGCUUUCUCCUUGAGGAGCAGAGCGCCAAGCGAGCCCUGCGAAUUCUGCCUGCUGUGUGCUCCCUACACUGUGAUCCUGUGGCGUGGCGGUGAACCCAGAAGCCGCGGGGGGACUACAGGCUGCAGAUGGAGAACAGAAAAACAAGAGCUCAGGAAACCCCAGAAAUUCCCAGGGGAGAACCGUGGCUUCCACUGUUUAGGCUGAACCAGGUAUGUGGAGGGGAGGGUCACCCCUCUGUGAUUUUAACUCAGAGCCCAGGGUACCUGUAACUCUGCAAGUGAGCAAAAACGCCUUUUUAAGACCCAGUAAGUGCUCCAGUAGUUCACUUUGAGCUCAUCAGGAAAAAUUGAUCUCCUUCAGGAGCUAAGGAGAAAGUGUCCUGGCUUUGCACUGCCAUCCCUAACGACUUGUGUCACCUAGAAGCAUUUCUGCCAUUAGAAAACGUUUCCAAAAUCGAACUCUCCUGGGCUAUGACUCCUACGUGACUUCCAGGCUAUUAGGAUCCCAGGACUGCAGUUGAGUAUCCCUUGGGAAACCAGACACCUUCCCCAGAGAUGCUGACUCCCAGGCUCCACAUUCAGCUCCCCCUCACCCUGAUCCACUUAGAAAACCUUUGCCCUUUCCCCCCAGUGUCCGUGGAAGAGAUUCCAUUCAAAUCAUUGCUAACUGAAGAUUCUGAUAACCAGGAGCCAUGCAGUGUUGCUGCAUUUAUAACGAGACAUUGUCUUCCACCAGAUAGAAGAUAAAGAGCUCUAAUAAUUCAUGACAAGUUGUUUCGUGGUCAUACGUAGGAGAGGGUGGGAAAUGGCCGUCAAAUAAGAUAGGCCGAAUUUGUAAUCUGGCUGUGUUUGUGAGUUAGUAUUGCAAUCUCCCAAGAUGGGCAAUUGCUUUGGAGGGAAAUCGUGGGGCACUGCUGCCAUCUAGUGCCCAGGUUUUCUUGUUUGGUGUUUCUAGAGAAAUCCAUCCUUGGGUCUCUGCUCUCUUACCUGAUCGGGGCUCCCUUUACUGUUUUUGAGGGCCCUUCCAGGAGACGCCCUCCCUCCAGGCUGUCAGGCAACAUGUGAAAGUUAUUGUUACACUGGAGGCUUUCUCACUUUGAUUUUGAUUUUAUGAAAUCGCUGUAAAAGUUUGAUCACUACCAAAAUUCAAACGUACAGUGUCCAUUGAGCUUGGGUGCUGGGCCUUCACACCAGGCAUGCUGGUCAUUUGUUGUUGCUGUUGAUGAUGAUGAUGAUGAUGAUGUGGCUGGUUUCUUUUACUCCUAGGCCUUUUAUUAACAUUUGAACAAUUCAUAAUUUAUAUCCAAGUACAGAAUAAAGUUAGACUCUGAGUCUUUCCUUUUAGUCUUUCUAAAUUUUAGCCUCUCAAAAUAUUUUUAAAUGUUGACAUUUUAAAUUUUUCAUCAACACAUAGUAACUACAUGUUUAGGAACACAGUGUGCUAAUUCUACACCUGUAUACAAUGUGCAAGAUGCAAUCAUGGUCAUUGAUUGGCAUUGGAAUCUUCUCAAACAUUUAGCAUUUGUUUGUGUUGGGAAGCUUUGACCUCCCUCUCUCCUAAGUCUUUAUGGUCACUGCUAUGGCUUGUAUCUACCUAGAUCUCCCUCCAAAUCCUCAGGCAGUCAUAGGUGGGGCUUUUGGGAGCUGGCUGGAUCUAGACUGUGUGACACUAAGGUUAAGGUGUUGUGGUACUAAAUUCAUCCACUGAUUGGAAUCAGCAUAGUUCUGGGCGUGGCUGAGUGGAUUUAAUAAAGACAGAAGUUUUGGGUGGUGGCCCCACCCAAAAGGCUUAUAUCCUGGAUGGGAUAAAAAGAAAGGCAGGCUGCUGCGAGCUGCUUGGUGCUUGCUGCUUUGUUGCCUUAUGCCUGCCUUGCCGUGGACUGGUUUCUUCUGGAAUGCACCUUUGUUAUGAUGCCCUGCUUGGAGUCAGCUGACUAUGGUCAGCAACUCCUAAAGCAACUAAGACAGUCACUCGACUCUUCUGGAGACUACUAGAGCUUAUUCUUUCUGGGUGAUUAUAUUUUGGGGUUCAACUCUGUCUCCCAAUCUAGGCACAAAGCUGUCCAUAGCCUUCAGAUCCAGCUGAGCUGCUGUGGACAUUGUGGCCUAUGGGACCAGCCAGGAGUUCAUCAGUACAGUGUUCAAAAGAAGCAGCUCUGGCAUACCAAAAAGUACAAAGAACCCCCCACCCCCAAUCUGGUAGCCACUAAAUAAAGACUAAAUUGCUGAGAUAAUAGUCAAGUAUCUAAAAGAGAGAGUGGGAAUUAAAUAAUUGGAUGAGGGUCAGAAAAUAAGAACGUGAUACUUGAGAUAAAUAUAGAUCUUUUUUAAAAAAUGCACAAAUGAGAAUGCUAAUUAACUAGCAAAGCUGUACAUAUGUGAAAAUCUGAGAGAAUAUACUGUGUUGCCAGGAUGGCUACAUGGCACGUUUGGCUUGUUUAAUGUCAUACCUGAAAAAAUGGGAGAUAGGAAAAUAGUUGGGAGAAUUCCUCUCCUUAACAGAGGGGUCAGUGCCAGGCUGCGUGAUUCAUGCUCCUCUGAUGCAGGAGCAGGAAGUCCAAGGGGCUUAGCAGUGAGAGCAAAAGUCACAUUAAAAGGGAACCUUUUGCAAAGACAUGAAGCACAACCUCACUGACACCAUGGCCACCUCUGUCCCCCUCAAGUCCCUGUCCCAGUGACGAGGAAAAGCAGGCUUUGAGGAAUUGAGUGGUUUACAGGAGGUCUCAUCUCAUUAAAGGUCUCAGCAGCUGAGACACUCAGGGCUCUUGCUGCACCUGCAUAUAAAACCCCGCCUCGCCACUCUGCCCUGACAGACAGAAGAGCACAGGCCCCGGGAAGCCAAGGGGCCUGCCUGCAUGGUUGUCCCUGCUCCUGUAGCUGUCAGAUAGGAACCCAGAGCCAGACGUGCAUGGAGCGCCCCACACUGAGAGUGGAGCACACAUUCUUCCCAAGAGCCUGUGCAGCAUUCUCCAUGACAGGCCAGCACCUGGCCAAUACUGGGAAGAAAGAGAGAGAACAUGACCAUUUGCAACUCUUUGUUCCUGAAAGUCUAGUUGUUUUUUUUUAAAUAACUAUUCAAAUUGGCUGGUUCUAAAAGUAAAAGUGAACCAUUUACCCUUAUUUUUCUCAAAAAGGUAGCCCUUUAUACACACACUUGCACACACACACUGCUUUAGGGUGUAGGAUGACGGGAUAAAGUGAGGUGCAUGCUAUGAAAGAGCCAGUGGGGAGAAAGAGAAAGUCGUGCGUCCUCUCCUUGCACCUUGGGGUAGCUUGAAGGGAGGACAGGGCACACAGCCUGCAACUCCAGGACGCAACACCCUGCCCUGGAGGGCUAAUCACACACAGCACCAGCGGCUGACCCCAGCUCCUGGGUACCUGACACUGCACAUCUGGGAUGGGGCCCUAAAAUUUACAUCUCUAAUUUUGAAGGCUAAAGGACAUGCCUUGGAGCCAUUUCUGUCAUUGUCUAGACAAGAGGGCCUAAUAAGAAUAAAAAAUAAGGACUCCUGCGUCUCAGUGUAUGAUUCCUCAUCUAAAACGUGGAUGAGAGCUUUCUCGUGGGGGAGUUGGAAAAGCCAAACAACAUAGACGCAAGGCCCAGAAGCUGGUGAAGUCUCAAAUAUAUGGUUCUCAUUUUCUGUGUCGUCUCUGAAGGGAAAAGAAGACACCCAGAUGGGCAAAGGCACUUCCAUCUGCUCUGAGCUGUAUUUUAGGAGCCGCAAACUGGAUCUUUCGAGAGAAAGGAACACAUUCAGUCAGUCUCUCCCGGAGUGUCUCGAGGACGGACCUGCUGUUUAUCAACAUGCCUCUGUGGAAGCUCCCAGAGAUCUCCUCAGGGUUUUACUGUGGUCUUGCCCUCCGAGGCUUAGGGCCUUUCUGGGGAUCCGGACAUUCUGUAGUGAAGAUGCUGGAUUGGCCAAAUCCUGUGAGGCGCCGUGGAAAAGUAAGAUCCUCCAUUUCCUGGACAAGAAUCUAUUGGAAAAUCUUAAAGAAGCAAGUUAUCUGCUGGAAGUGGUGGCUGCACCUGUAAUCCCAGCACUUUGAGAGGUGGAGAUGGGAAGCUCACAAGUUUGAACCCAGCCUGGGCCACUCAGCAACUUAGUUAGACAUGGUCUCAAAAAUUAAGGGUUGAGGAUGUAGCUCAGUGCAGAGGCCCUGAGUUCAACGCCUCCACAAAAAGCAAGUCAUCAUCCAUUGAAUUCCCAUAGAUCUGUCAACCUGGAAUGUGUAGAAUUCUGCAGUUCAUGCUGUGAUUCACAGAGGCUGAUUCUGAAAGACACAACGAGCUGUGGGUGUUGUAAAUAAUCGCUGGGAAAAGGAGGGAAACAGCAACAGAAGCACAAGCCUUCUCCAUCCCAACCCACUCCCUCCUGGGCCUCCACCCAAGGCCCUCUGGUGCACAAGGCCUGGCCUGAGCCUGCAGGAAGGCUGGAGCCACGUGUGGACUCCACCCAGCUCAUGACGGAAGUCACCCCUCCCUCGCCACAGGUCACUGCAGCCCCCUUAGCAGCCCCGGCUCUUAUCAAAGCAAUGCCUUCCGUGCUCUUCCUGUCAUUCUGUCAAAGUCUGAGAGAGAGAGAGACCUUCUGCAAUGGAAAGGAGAUCAAGAGAUCCCCUCCCAAGGGAGGGAGGAGAAGCAAAAGGGAGUGUUAUGUGCCUAUACCACCUGCCCACAGCGAAUGCAAUCCUUAUGUGCUGCAAAUUUGCACCAAUAAAAAUAACAAUUAAAAAAAUAAAAUUUAUUAGUUAAUCUGAAAAAAAUCAUUGUCAAUAGUAAUGGCUGGCAGAUAUAUUAAAAAAAAUCCAAUAUCAGGAGAAUG
rnacentral:lncRNA from 1 species